rfam:Capsicum annuum cultivar Zunla-1 chromosome 3, whole genome shotgun sequence
AGACUGUUAGUGAUGUGGACAAUCUAAAAAAAGAGCCAUGAAGCAUUCCUAAGCAUGAUAGAGGUUUUCAUCAGGCUUUUGUUUGAAGCUCACUAUCUCACUGCAAAGUCU